rnacentral:lncRNA from 1 species
UUUGGCUGGAGGCAGAAACUGCUGGCCCCUCGGUCUCCUCCACCCGCAGGAGCCAGCCCGGGAGGAUGAAUGAGCUGAGGGAGUGGCUCCAGGGUCCCGCCCUGGCCCUGAGGCACAGCCCUAGUCCCAGCCCUGUUCUGCCUCCGCCUCACACGAGGUCAAAGGAGCCCUUUCUGCCUGAGCUGGUUUGAGUUGUUUUCAUCACUGCAGGUCCUCUGCACACCAUUGACUGUGCAGGAGAAGAGUCCCUGGGCAAGUCUGGCCUGAUGUCUCAGCCCAGAGCUAGUUCUCCUCCUGGAGACUGAAGGCCCUGCUCCCCACUCCCCCAUGCAGUCCCACUACACCUAGUGGUCCUGGCCCAAGGGACCCCUAUCCCAUGUAAGAGUUCCUUGAAUUCCCCCCUCCCUCUUCAGGUUUUCUGCCACUGGCCCAGCCUUCUCCCCUUCUCAAGGAUCCUGGUUCCCAGAGCCUCCUUUUCUUCCAGAAGGUUCAGGUCUCCUCCAGGAAACCACUGUCCUCAGCCCAUAGCCUCUUGGCUGCCUCCAUCCUUCAUUUUACCCCCACUCAGCAUACCUUUUAUGGCCUAUCAUCUUGCCAACAUCUGAAGCCUCCUGCCUGUUUUCUCACUAUUCCCAUCUCACAAGAUCCAACCUUGUGCCAGCUGUGGUGUUCUAAUCCCAGGACUCUGGAGGCUGAGACAGAAGGAUCACAAGUUCCAGGCCAGCCUCAGCAACUUAGUGAGGCCCUAAGCAACUUAGUGAGACCCUAUCUCAAAAUAAAUAAUAAAAAGGGUUGGGAGAGGGGCUGGGGAUGUGGCUCAGGCAGUAGUGCGCUCGCCUGGCAUGCGUUCGGCCCAGGUUCGAUCCUCAGCACCACAUAC